GGAGUGGGCCAGGCAGCCGCGGGAGCGAUCCCGAGGAAAGUCCGGGCACCACAGGGCAGGACGCCGGGUAACUCCCGGAGGUCGCGAGGCCAUGGAACGCGCUACAGAAAAGAACAGCCGGCACCAUGGGACCAUGUCCCAGAGGCAUGGUUCCGCCGGCAACGGUGAAACGGUGGGGUAAGAGCCCACCAGCGGCAUGGCAACAUGCCGGCUCAGGCAAACCCGUCCGGUGCAAGGAGAGAUGGACACACAGGGCUGCCCGGCCCGUCCGUCGGAUAUCCGCGCAAGCCUGCCGGGAACGGCUGGCUAAGACAGAUGGCUGCAGAGACAGAACCCGGCUUAUGGCCCACUCCGAUU
rnacentral:RNase_P_RNA from 1 species